rnacentral:rRNA from 1 species
UAGUGGCGACGACCGGGAAAUUAGCCCAGCACCGAAUCCUGUAUCUUUGAUAUUAGGAAUUGUGGUGUAAAGGUUGCAUCUUCGAUAGUGGAAUGUAUUCCAAAUUCACUUGAUUGUGAUGUUGUCCAGAGAGGGUGUUAGACCCGUUGGAAUACACNAGACUUCNUCNUCGANGCNNCCUAUGANUCNGANUGUUUGANANUGCACCCCANAUNGGGNGGNAUACNCCNUCUANGGCUAAAUACUUGUGNGANNCCGAUAGCANACAAGNNCCGUGAGGNAAAGUUGAAAAGANCUUUGAAGAGAGAGUUAAAUAGUACGUGAAAUCGCUUAGAGGUAAACGAGUGGAGCCGAAGCUGNAGUAUGGGAUUCAGUUUGUUGUAUAACAUGUGUGUANAGAAUAAAUUAUAUAUUAAUAUGCCUUUGCACUUGUUUGUUGUAUAAUAAAUGCACUUUCCAUAUUACUCGACUGCGACCAAUASAGUUGUUUCUCUGUCGUUGNGAUAAAGUUGAUCUAUUGCUUANGCAAUUGGUUUUAUAGUUCACUUCACGGUUUAAUAAUGUAUNGGUGAAUACGAUUUGGUCAAUGUUGGUGAUGGAGUAUGUUAUGUGAAUAACNCCUGGCAAUUGAUUUGACUAGUGUUGNUCAUGUUUNGUACUAUGUUGUCGAUGGAUCUUAUCUAAAGUCUGCAGUGUUUAUGUAGGUUACCUACUCGUCCCGUCUUGAAACACGGACCAAGGAGUUUUAUAUUAUCGCGAGUCANAGGGCUAUACGAAACCCCACGGCGCANUGAAUGUAAAGGUUUGCUCUUCAUGUAAACUGAGAUGUGACCUGSUGGCAAUUGAAAACCAUCANUGCAACAUCGACCCGUCUAAAGGAGUUCGCUUCUGGGCGGAGUUUGAGCGAUAAUGUAGAGACCCGAAAGAUGGUGAACUAUGCUUGUGCAGGUUGAAGUCAGAGGAAACUCUGAUGGAGGACCGCCNCGGUUCUGACGUGCAAAUCGAUCGUCGGACAUGAGUAUAGGGGCGAAAGACUAAUCGAACCAUCUANUANCUGGUUCCCUCCGAAGNUUCCCUCACGAUAGCUGGCAUUNAAAUGUGUAGNUUUACCCGGUAAAGCGAAUGAUUAGAAGUAUUGGGGACGAAAUGGUUUUCA